UGACACUCCAUAAAUAUGGGAUUUUGUCAAUCACGAAACAUGAGCAAAAGAGCAUGCCUGAUUUAAGUGAUGCAUCCACACUUUUUACAAAGAUGGAGAUUUUACCAUGAGGCAUUCCUUUCAGAAGUGUUGUCUAGGAGCUGAUUUUUUUUUGUCAUGGUCUCAGAAUCUGAAAGCAGCUGGCUGCAAAGGACCUCUACAGGAAUCAUGGAUUCAUUAUCUUCAUGAUCAGCAUUUAACUUCUAUAUAAUGAUCAGGUUUCGGGUAAGGAUGGACUGUAAUUGGCGACUUUACAUUUCUGCACGAAUAAAUCAGUAUUGUCAAAUGUCUGCUUAGGGCACUGCUGUCUCUCUCUGCUCAUGUUGCACACUGGCUAAUGUUUUUGAGAGUCAACAAACCCUUGAGUUUCUCAUUCUAGUUCCAAUUCAUUGUACAGCGGAAUUUGUUUUAAUGCUAUUGUUGAUCAACCCUGUAAUGUGUGACUUUUAUUUCCCCAAGUUGAUUAGAGUUCCAAAGGUGUUGGAGUUAUGAUAUAUGGACAGGUAUUUAGCAGUUUAGCAUGACAUAGAUAGAGGACACGAAGCACAAUUCAUGUAGGCUCUGUACGGUAUGAAUGUAUGUUCAUUAUGAAGGCCUACUGUAUGUGUUUACAGUGUGCUAAUGUGUCUUACUGUGGGACUCCCCUCUUUUCGCCUCAUGUGCCUGCAUUUAAGACAUCGCCAUCAUCUGUUACUCUGGACAUUAUACAAAAAGAUGACUUAACAGUUUCAGUACGUGCCCAGAACUCAACUGAGUCUUCACAUCUACAUGUGCCAUGACAACCAUUUCCAAUGAAAAUAGUGUGGAAUACCUUCGGAGUAUCACACACACGUUUUUUUUGUUUGUUUUAAAAACUCUGUCAGAUAUUGGGCUUUGUUUGUUUUAAAAACUCCGUCAAGUUGAAGUUUGGACUCAUGAAAGCUUACAUUUUGAGACUUCUGUGCCUCUACCCUUCACAAUACCUGGAGGAAAUGGAGGCAAUUGGAAUCUGUGCAGUUAAAUCUGUGCAGUUGAAUCUGUGCUGUUAAAAUGGCUAAUUAUGAGAAUGUAUUUGAAUUAAGUAAUGAAUCAUAUACAUAGGCCAUGUAAAGUUUGUCUUGUAUGUCAUUUCUUUGUGACACGGGAUUGAUUAGAUAGUGUAAGUGACUGAAGUUACUGUAAAAACCUGUGAUAAGGCGCAGCCCAAGAAUGUCUACCCUCACUAUCAUGACAAAGCAUGGGGAGGAAAGAUCAUUUCUAUCUAAAUGCUUUCUAUUGGGAUUUAUUAACAGCUUCAGUAUAUUAUUUACAUAAAUCCUCCAGUUUCAAACUUGUUUAAAAUAAUGUGAGGUAAAUUAUGUGUUUCCCCCCUUGGAAAUAAGGAUUCAUCUGGUGUGUUUUCUAAUUUGGCAGGAUGGUUAUAAAUUGUACAAUUGCAACACUGCAAAGUUUAAAGCUGGCUGAUUUGUUAACAACAAUCAAAACCAAAUAAAAAUUAAAUACCAACA